rnacentral:lncRNA from 1 species
AGUUCCUGGACUUUCCCCUGGCAUUGACAGAGGAGAUGGGGCCCUGAAUGCGGUGAGUACUACCACCAGUUCGAAAGAAGGGGGGUUAGGACAGAAAGAUAAUUGUGUCAUGGAGUCAAGGCGGAUCGCCUUGGAGCUGUCAAAGGGGUGAAGGAUAUUUCGCUUGCUCCGGGUCAUCAGCGCUCAGAGACACGGCUGGGAGUGUGCCGGAAGCUGAAGCAAUCUGGAAGUGACAGGCCAGCGUCAGGGGGAGAAGCCUUAGUGAAAGAGCCACUGAGUCACCACAGUCUCUGUCUGGAGCGGCAGCCUUGGAGCCAGACGCCGCCACAGCCGAGACGCAAGAAGAUGUCACAGAGGGUCCAGGGUGACUGUGACUGAACAGCUGGGUUGCCACAGCUCUGAGCUACAGGAAUACCGUUUUGUUACUAUUACUGUGGCCUUACCGGCCACCCCUCCCCCAAGACAAGGAUCAAACCUCAGCAUCCAAGAACCCUGACGGCAUGAAAGUUAUGACUUGAAGAGCGAUGAGCUGCUCGUGGCAGAAAACCAGGUCCCGUUGACAGAAAGGAUGGAAUGAGUUCUGCCUCUUUCCUCCUGGUGUGGCCCGAGAGCCGCCGAACUUCGCCGUUGCUUUCUAUGUUUUGAAAAUGUGAACAUGUUUCAAGGGGAUUUGAGAAACACUUGGUCGGUGGUUGCAGGGAUUUCCGCAGAAGGGCUCCGAGGAGCCAAAAGCAUCACGGGCCUCUGUCCUUGCCCUCAGAACGUUGGAAUGGUCGUGACACGAACUACAGUCGACCUCGGUGGCUGGGGAGGUUUUGCAGCGCGUAAGCAGCUCUUUUUAGGCAAGAUGGAGGCUGACAGAGCUGCACUCAACCACCAAGGAUGUUGCCAUGGAGCUUGUGAGGAAAGGGUCUACCUCUGCUGAUGGCUCCCCCUUUCCCUUCCGG